rnacentral:rRNA from 1 species
AACGAACGCUGGCGGCAGGCUUAACACAUGCAAGUCGAACGCCCCGCAAGGGGAGUGGCAGACGGGUGAGUAACGCGUGGGAAUCUACCUAGUUCUACGGAACAACAGUUGGAAACGACUGCUAAUACCGUAUACGCCCUAUGGGGGAAAGAUUUAUCGGAAUUAGAUGAGCCCGCGUAAGAUUAGCUAGUUGGUGGGGUAAUGGCCUACCAAGGCGACGAUCUUUAGCUGGUCUGAGAGGAUGAUCAGCCACACUGGGACUGAGACACGGCCCAAACUCCUCCGGGAGGCAGCAGUGGGGAAUAUGGGACAAUGGGCGCAAGCCUGAUCCAGCCAUGCCGCGUGAGUGAUGAAGGCCUUAGGGUUGUAAAGCUCUUUCAGUAGGGAAGAUAAUGACGGUACCUACAGAAGAAGCCCCGGCUAACUUCGUGCCAGCCGCCGCCGUAAGAC